UCCACUGCCUGACCAUUCUUUUGGAGAAGAAAUUUUUCCUAACAUCCAUCUGUUCAGGCUGAAGCAGAGCCCCACAGCAUUGCUGCCCCUCAUCUCUCCCACUUUCCCACAGUCUUACACCUGCAGUUCCAAUCCACUGAGUCAAGAGCUGAUAUAGCUUUGCACCGAAGACUUUGUUGAGGACUUUUGGGUUAAGAAAAUAACAAAAAUCACUCAUUUUAAGUGGAUCAUUUGACAGACCUUGUUUAAAGGGCAGCUAAACAGACAGCCAGUGAAGCACUAAUCUGGGGAAGCAGAGAAGGAGCCACACCAGCAAAGCUGCCUGGCUCAGCUGUAAGCUAUAGGACACCUGACUGCAGCCCAGCUCCAUCAGUAUUUUCCAGUGCAUGUGGAUUUGUUUUCUUUUUUCUUUUUUUUCGUUUAGGUUUUCUAAGGACACAAGUUCUGCCUCCCUGCAACCCCUUCCAAACCUUCUGCCUAAUCUCAGGUAAAUCUGAAAGGGUUUGAGCAUGGCUUGUCCCUUUAAACUGGCCUACUUGUUUUAGUGGGACACGGAGGGCACCGAGUUGAUGAACUGGACACUCAACCUAAGAAGGAAGGAAGACUUUAUCAGUUUGAUUACUCACGCAUAGCCUAUUUUAAUCCUGACUUAGAAACUUUGGGCAUGUAGACUUCAGUGUCUGCUGGUGUUUUAAAAUGCAGCAUCCUCUCUGAGGUUCCUUCUGGAAGUUGCUGAGAUGUUGUUAACUCCAUUCAUAUAUUUCUGUAUCAGACUAUAAUAAGAUUAGUUGUCUGAACAGCACAAAUGUUGCAGCCAUCUUUAGUGCAGAGAAAGAGAUAUUGACUUCAGUGCAAGGACUCAGAUAUACCACUUGCACUAUAUAAUGCCUAAUACUGCUUAAACAUGUUUUCUGUCGGGAACUCAAGACAAAGAUGACUUCUAUCUAACAUGAGAGGAAAGAAAUAACUUGCCAUCUAGAUAGGUUAUUUGCUGAUCCAUAAAUCAGAGAGGAGAACCACGCAUACUGUAUUCCUGCCUAUUCCCACAGCCUCCUUCUUGUCAUCACGGAGGUCUUUAGUAUCCUGAAAUACAGCUUGACAAUAAAAAUUAAUUGAAAGUGCACUAGAAUCAUUGACUUUUGCAGUUUCACAGUUUGCCCAUCCUUAAAUAAUGCUGGUUAUAAAAUCCUGUUUGUGCUAUAAUUCCUUGGCUCUCUGCCACGUAGCAUGUACAGAAAUCAGCAGUGUGUGCAGCAGGGACUUAGCCGGCUGUAUGAGUGCACAUAAUGGACUUUCGUCUUUAGCUCAGCAGCAAAAUACUGACUCAGAUCUAGAGACUGGUUAUAGUCCCAGUGGUGUUUACUCCAUGUAAUUAACAGUAUCAAGUGUGUUGUCUUUUGGGUAGUCUGAUUGUUUCCAUAUGCACAAGUACCUUUGGUGAAUGCACACGGGGCAAAAGACAGACAACACUCAAAGUGCACACAGAGCUGCGGGAAGCACAUAUGUUUUAAAUAUAUUAUCUCUGCAAUUAAAAGGAGAUUAUAAAUUGGUCAUAUAAAUCUUCAAGAACAGGGUCAGCGGGGAAAGGAAAAGAUCUCCUGUCUAAGGAGGCACUACAGCUAGGUAAGAGCUUGCUUUGCAGGUCCUGCCAUGGGGCAGGUAUUUCCCCACUUGCCCACUAGUGAGUGGCGUGGGUUGGUGUCUCAGGACAAGCAGGGAACCUUGCUCCUGAGCUGGGGCACGUUGCUGCGGGCAGAAGGCUGCUGGUGCUGUGCUGGGGCCCAGAGGAAGAUCAGCCGCAUUUGCGGUGGGGCGUGCCUGGGAAUGCUGCGCAACAUUAAUCUUAGGGGCAGGUACUUGUUGAAAUUCCAGUUACAGAGGGAGAUGUCUGAGGCAGAGCUGGGCCUUGCCUUCACAGCUGAAAGAGCUCUGAAGAUUCAGGGUGACAUUAAACACUAAGUCCCCCCUCUCCACGGAUGCAAGCAUGUGUGUACCAUGUGCUGAAGCACUCACAGGAGCAGAGCAGAAGCACAGGCGGCGCUGCCUUAGCGAUGGAAAGCAGGCAUUUCACUGUUGAUGUUCCACAGUCGUACGGCUGACGGUUACUAGGGGAUCCUGAAGGAUGUGUUUCCCUGUGACCCUUUGAGAAGAAAAACUUAGUUGCCGCAGUAACCAAGUUUGGCUUGGAUGCAAUGAUGCAGUAAAUAUCAUAGCUUUUUUCCAGAGUUGUUUUUCCUAAAGCACUGGUUGGAAGAAAAUCUGGGUUGCUGUAUGUGGGACCAAUUCUGCUUGCAGCCUGAGCAUCAGCAGGGGAGCACUGAGCAGUCAGACCCGCAUCAGGAGUGAGGAGAUGCACCAUGUGUCAGUGCAGGCCGCGCAGCAGCAGAUAGGCCCUCUGAAGUCUGCAGAAAGGGUUUAUGGAUGAGACAUGACCGGCAGAGAGCACGCAGGAUCAUUGUUAAGAGCAGAUCACCAGAGUUCUGUAGAGACUGUCACAAAACACAAGGCUGUUUUAUGUUCAGGUUAAUAAUUCAUAGAACCUUGUGAUAUUCAGAAGCA